UACGUAGGGGGCAAGCGUUGUCCGGAAUUACUGGGCGUAAAGCGCGCGUAGGCGGCUUUGCAAGUCGGGUGUGAAAUCCCCAGGCUUAACCUGGGAACUGCAUUCGAGACUGCAUUGCUAGAGUAUGGGAGAGGGAAGUGGAAUUUCCGGUGUAGCGGUGAAAUGCGUAGAUAUCGGAAGGAACAUCAGUGGCGAAAGCGACUUCCUGGACCAAUACUGACGCUCAUGUGCGAAAGCGUGGGGAGCAAACAGG
rnacentral:rRNA from 1 species